rnacentral:lncRNA from 1 species
GGAGGCUGGGCUGUAUUGAAGUGCAUUCCAGACUGACUGUGAAACCCAGAGCUGCUGCUGCUUUCCCAAUGCUGGCUCCCUUCCAAGGGGCUGGCCCAGCUGAGCUGCUUGUCAAAGCUUCAUUUUGUCUCUUCUCUCUCUUUUUUUCCUCCUCUUUGUGAUUUCCCAUGUAGCAUUUGCCUGCCCUUGGAUAGAAUACUUGGAUGAAUUUUGGGGUCACCUCAGAUCUGGCACAUUUCAGAAGUUGCUGACGUGUUGAUGCCUGCUAAAACACGACGUGGGAAGAAGAAUGAAUGUGGGCAAGCUCGGCUAGCCACUCAGAGGGAAAUGAUCUCAUUUCUCCUGCUGGGCAACCCCCAGUUGCUGGAUUGUCUUAAUGGCACUUAGAAAACCAGACUUACAUGGGAAAGUAAGUUAUCCAAGCAGACACCCAGAAUUGCUUGGCAUACUGUAUAACAACUGGCAAAUUAACCUUCUCACACUCGGAUAAUACUGCAGAAUUUAAGGAGCAACUGUAUCUGCCUCCAUGCAGCUGUCUAGUUUGCUAAUGCAUGUUCCUAAAAUAAAAAAAAAACACUGACACACAUACUGUCUUUUUCCUUUCAACAAUCCAGCUACUCAGUCCUUCUUGAAGUCCAUUUUCGUAAACACUUUGCUGAUCAAGAAGUGUCUGAAGAUGGGAAGACGGAGAAAGCUUGUAUUGUUUACUGAGUAUCAGAGGACACUUCCUUCAAGUGACCUAAGGCAUGUGUGAGUGCUAUCCUAUGAG